CCUCUUGCAUUCUACAUUCAAAUCCAGAUUUGAAAUCCUCCAGUUGGUAAGCAAAUCUAAUAGUUAAAUGUUGUUGCAGAUUCAUAAUGUCAUUGUUAGUGUAGUAUUUUAAGAGAUGUAAUGUUUAUAUAUUACAUUAUAGCUGCUACAGUUUCAAUAUCUAAUAACUAAAAAUGGUUGUAGAUUCAUUGUGUUCAAAAACACCGAUGGUCGGAAUGUGGUCACUCUUCAACGAGCUUCGCCCUUUGGCAAUGUCACCUGCAGUUAAAGCGAGAUUGAUAAGAUGUUAUGGCAUGCCUUCAACCAAAAAUGAUGAGCUAAAUAGUUUUGAAUGCAUAUUCCAUGAUAUAGAGGUAUGAUUUAUAUAUCAAAGUUUUAUAAGAUGUUAUAGCAUGCCUUCAACCAAAAAUGAUGAGCUAAAUAGUUUUUUAUGCUUAUUUUGAGAUUGGGACAUAAUCCGUAAGAUCUAUUAUGUACUCCCUGAAGUCAGUUUUUUACUGUUAAAUUCUAAUGAUUAUAAACAAACUUAAGAUAUUAUCAAGAGAUGAUCAUACCUAUAAGUUUGCCGAUAUUGCAACAGGCCUCAUUUUCAAAAAUUGGUCAUAUAAGUCACACAG
rnacentral:lncRNA from 1 species